rnacentral:lncRNA from 1 species
UUAUGAACGUGAUUUUCACAUGGAUGCUGCAGAUCUGAACUCAGACCCCCAUGUUUGCAUAGCAAGCCCUCAACCCACUGAACCACCUCUCCAGCCCUUCGGUGCUCUUAAUUUAAACUCUACCAUCGAGCCGUUCUUCCUGCUAUUUGCCUUAGUAAAAGCCAAUUUCACUAUUGCCCCCACUCAAACCAAACCCGAUGAAGCUUUCUUUUCUUACAUAUACACUUUUGAUUUUUAUAUUUUAAAAAAUUAGGUGUAUGUGUUUGUGCAUGGGAGAUGUGGAUAUGUGCAUAUGUGUGCAGAUGCCUACAGAGGCCAGAGGCAUCUGAUCCCCCCAAAGCUGAGACAAUUGAGAGCUGUGGGAGACUCAAUUCCUCUGCAAAAGCAGUAUGUGGUCUUGACCACUGAGCUAUCUCGCCAGCCCCUGUAAGUAUUUUUAUUUUGAUAGCUUCUUCUUCUUUUUUUUUUUUUUAACAGAAUGCAAUGCCCACCAUGCACACUGUUCCUAGUGCUAAAUAAAAGUGUCCAAAGCCUACAAAACUACUACUUGUCACGGAUUCAGAUUUCUAAUUAGGAGACAGAGGACAGCGGAACACCUGGGUCAGCUGCUGACCAGUGUGGUGAGAGAACACCAGCGCAGGGCAGAGGGCAGAGGCUGAAGGAGGAGGGUGGAACACUGCUGCUUCAUUAGGAGACACGUCGUGGAGAAGGUGGACUUUGUCUAAAGAUCUGAAGGCAAAGAUGAGGUGCUACCUGAGGAAGAGUCUUCUAGAACAAGGGGGCCCAGUGUGCAAAGACACUUGGAGUAGAGGCUCUGGUCUUGGCAAACAUGUGUACUCUAUUCAGUCCCUUAGAGAACACCACGGGCUCGUCAUCUGAAAUACAGCGUCCACCCUCAUUGCUUUCUCUCUUCCUCAGACCACACUUCAAUAAUCACUGCCUCAUUACUUUCAUGGUCUAAUUUCUGGACCCCUAUAUCUUGUCCCCCACACACAUACACUUAUACCCUCUUCAGCAUAGAUGCUAUGUGAUUCUAUUAAAACAAGUCUAUUCGUGCUAGGUUUCAAAGUCUCCCAUGGUUUCACAAAUCACGCCACACAAAUGCCUCGCAUCUUGUCCAUUGCCUGCUCAGCCCCCACCCCCACCCCCUGCCUCUAACCCGUCACUCAUAUGCCUAAACUCGCUCACUCAGCCUCGUCUCCAGUCCUUCAGACUCCUCCUGUUCUACAAGCUUCGGAAGUCAGCAUUUAUCUGGCAUUAAGAACAGCGUGUGUGGUAGCUACUCAAUAGCUCCUUGUUGAAAAGGGUACUGCUCUGUCACUGGAAAAAGCCUUGAGCGUAUGAAUACACAUGCUGUGGUAACUGAGCUCUGUGACAUCCCUCAAUGACCCUUGCCUUCUGGCUGCCCUGCCUUGGUGGACUCUCCUCCCACAAUGGAUCAGAGUGAACCUAUUUGACCCAGAGAUUACAUGAUGGUGUGUGACUUCCCAGAUUAGAUUACAAGACAUAGAACAAUCACUACUUUUUCCUCUGAGGGGCGCCAGUUGCCGUGGGAGCACUCAUCUACCCUGAAAGUGAGUUCAGUGGCAAGUGACUGAGACCUCCAUCCAAUAACCAGUACCACCCCCAUCUAGUAACCAAUACCACUUCCCCAUCUAAUAACCAAUAUUACCCACCCAUCCCCAUUUAAUGACCAACACCAUUUGCCAGCCACUGAAAGAGAUUUGCCUGCUUAUAACUAAGUUUUCAUAUGGCCACAACUUUGGUCAACAUCUUGACUAAAACUUCAUGAGUGACUGUCCAAGGCAGAACCAAUCAGCUGAUGUUCUCAUUUCUGGUACACAGGUAACAUUCGAGACUACCCUUACUGUUUAGUGGUACUGCUUUGGGAGAAAUUUAUACCUGGAUUUACUAUAUGGAAAUGCUGUAUCCGAAAUCUAAAAUGUGAGUAGAAUCCUGCAAUCCAACACUGAGUAAGAACCAGGAGGAUAAAGAUGAAGAUGAAGAUAAAGUGAAAACACUAAACGACUUUGAAGUGACAGCCACUGGGGCUAAUGGGACAUGAGGAAAACAUCACUCUGCAUGAGAAGAAAGGAGAACCUUUUUAAGUACUGAAGAAGAAAUGCAACAAAACAGAAAAGAUCAGUGAAACUUGAAGCUUUUUUUUUUUAAAGAUUAAAGCGAACAAACUUUUACCUAGAUUAGUAAGAGGGAAGAGUCAAAUAAGCAAUUGACAUCAUAAAAUGAAGAAGACGUCACAGUUAGUACUGCAGAAUCACAAAGCCUAAGAGACUGGGGUGAGCAGGAUCUUCAACAAGCCGAACAACCUAGAAGAGAUGGACAGGUUCCUCAGAACGACAGCCUAACAGGAUGGAGCCACAGACAGAGACUGACGGAUUAGUAACCAGUGUGGAGAUGGAAGUAUCUCCAGGACCUCACCCCGGCUUCCCAAUGGUUCCCUGGUUCUUGUGAUCUCAACUGACCUAUUGUAGAUGCUAUAGAGAGGCAAGAUGGCGUCCAAAGCUGAUUAUGAAGGAGGAGGUUCAUCCUCAGCAACCUUCAAGCUUGCUCAUUUCUAAGUAGCAAACACUAUCAACAAUCAUGAAGUCUGGAGCUUAGAAGAAUGUGGUAAUGUGCAGGACUAGAAGGGAGGGAGCCCUGUUUCGAGGUUGCAUCCACACUUUUAAACUCUCCUGAAGUCUCUAUGAUAAGAGGAAUCUAACCGAAACGAUUGGCUUGCAAACAUCUCGGCACUACUAAGUACAACACACACAGGGCCAUUCUAUCAAAGCCUUGAGUUAGAGGUCCGCUCUGAGAACCAUGCUCUGCAGACCAUGCUCUGAGGACCACGCCCCGCUGUGAGAAAAACAGAGCCGACCUCACACCUUGGUACCUCCCCGUCUUCAAUAGAUUAAAAAGGACUGCAGCAAGAGCUUGCAAGCCUCUCUCUCACUUCCUCUCUCUUGCUCAGGAGAACUGUGAGAACUAACUGUUGAUCUGAAAGCAACCAUGAUUUGCUACAGAGGUGCGAGCUUGCACAGAGACCUGUGAAAUCCCACAGAACACAGGAAGUGUCUAAUUCCGCUGGAUCGGGCUGGUGUCAAGGCAGCUGACAGCUUCAGAGCCAAGAGCCUCCAGAAUCCUUUUUGGUAAGGAAUGUCAGCUACAAGGGGAAUCCCUACCUCACCAUCUACACAGAGUUCAAAGGAAAUGCAGAUUUAAUCAUUUGGUUUCUGUGUGACUUUCAAGUCAAAGUGAAACUAGAAUGUGAAUAUCAGAGCGUGUGAACCUUUUUGGUACGAAGCCUGGGUUCCCCUCUUACUGCUGCGGUGUGUAGAGGAUUGUGCAAUGUAAUAGCAGCAUCCAAGAUACACAGGGUCUCUGCUUCGACUCUCAAGAUGACUGCUGAUGCUCGGAGCUGAGCUGCAGAGUGCAGCAGCUCAUUGUUUGGGCCAGGAGUGUGCACGUGAAAAAUGACUCGCCGCACACUCUGCUUCCAUUCUGGUGCUCCGGGAAUGGAUUGACUUCAAAGAACUCUUUAAAAAUUAAAGUUAGGGGGACUGGAGAGAUGGCUCACUGGUUGAGAUUACUGACCGCUCUUCCAGAGGAGCCAGGUUCAAUUCCCAGCACCUAUAUGGCAGUUCAUAACUGUCUGUAACUCCAAGAUCUGACACCCUGAUGCAGACAUACAUGCAAACAAAACACCAAUGCACAUGAAAUAAAACUAAACUUAGAAUGCCACCUAGCAGUAGUGAAACUAAGUUCAAUCCCCAGAGCCAUUAAAUAAAUAUAAUGCAUGUAUAUGCAUAUAUACAUAUACAUAAUCUAUUUAUAAUUUAUAUUUCUCCAUUGGUGAACAAAAGUUAGAAUACAUGUUCAUUGUUAAAAAUAAGAAACAGAACACGGGUGAUGACCAACCUAAACAUCACCAGUGUGGUCUUACACAAAUAGGUUCCCUUUUCUUAUUUCAUUUAGAAACCCACUAAGCAAUUGGUGUAAUACUCCAUUUAGAGCAAGAACACCACAGAGUUGUCUCUGAUAUCCACAUAAAUGCUAUGACAUGCUUGCCUCCCUAUAUACACACAUCAUGUAUGUGUGUGUGUAAACACAUACACACACACACACACACACACACACACACACAGAGAGAGAGAGAGAGAGAGAGAGAGAGAGAGAGAGAGAGAGAGAGAUAUUAAAAAUAAAUCUAGUACCAGAACCUGAGUUUGAUCCCCCAAACCAUGUAAAAAAAAAAUCCAACCAUGUGAUGUAUGCUUGUAAUUCUAGCUCAGGGGAGGGAGAGCCAGGCAGACAGAUCCCUUUGUCUGAAGAAAGAAAGUGGAUGUCUCCAUGGAAGGACACCUGAAGUUAACCUCUGACCCCCACAGGCAUGCACAUGCAUAUGAACAUGUACCCACACACAUGAACAUACACAGGAAAACACUUCUCUUACGCCAUGCAUACCAUAAUUUGUAUAAAAUUCCACCAUAAAGGAGAGCUGGUUUCAGCUUCCUUUAUUAUAAACUAUACUGCAGCAACUAUAUGUGAAUACACAUUUUUUUCUGUUUAGCAUCAAUUUCGUACUAUUAAAUUUUCAAAAAAUUGAAAUUAAGACCAAAUUUCAGUGGUUUUUAAUGUUUCAUAAUUAACUUUGCUUCUUUACCAUGGCUUUAAAAAUAUUUAUAAAGGGCUGGAGAGAUGGCUUAGCUGUUAAGAGCACUUGGCUGCUCUUUCAGAAGUCCUGAGUUCAAAACACCAAUGCACAGAAAAUAAAAAUACAAAAUAAAACCCAACAAAAACCUAUAAGAUACCAAUUAUGAGGACAAACUUGGGGUCUCAAACUUUAUAAAUACUUCUUGAAACAUGCAAGACUGCCUUGGUAAGUAGGCCACUUAACCAGUGGGAAGGGACUGUGUCCGGCUGCCCUCAGCGAAAGGCAAUGGUCUGUGUUCCCAAGGUCACCAGGCCCCUUUGUCCAUUCUUCCCGUUAGCCCCAGGGUGGCCACCUUGGUGAAAUCUCCUAUUUCUGUUUUCACCAUAAUCCAUUUUUAAAUUUGUGUUUCAGGAGAGGCAGCUGAGCCCUGCUUAUUGGUGCUGCCAGAGAAAUGACACUUUUGGGGAAUGAGCCACUCAAAGGAACUUGACUGAAAAGGGAGCAGAAGGAUGGAAUGGCCCCAGGGACCUGUGGUCCUUCCUGAUCCCUUGGUGUUUUGAGGCUCUUUUGAACUCUUUGGAUUCACUUUGAACUAA